UUUAAAUCACAGCGGCGACUGGAGAUAAGUGCGCACAUGUGAAAACAGACGAGGAGCUAUGGAGAGUGGAAGACGUUCAAAUGAAGUCACACACCCCUCUGUGUCAGCCCUCACCCUCGGAUAUUGAAAACAGUCGCCACGGUUACCUCGCUUAACCCUAACAGGAAGAGGUUCUCGAUGAAAACAGCCAGGAUCGAGAACAUGUUGUAGGAAUCGUGUCAAUAAACGGGACUAACCUGGGACACGCCGUCCAAUCGGGUUCAUUCUACUCCCUGUCCAAUCCCAGCCCGACCUGCCAGAGUCAGGUGACACCGGGACGGUUCUGCAGUCGCAUCACAAGACCAACAGCAGCAGACCUACAGAAUAAGACAACAACAAAACUAAUAAUAAAGUGCAGUGAAUAAAGUGUCCGGCCCUGAGAUCGACUUCAACACUGAUCUUUGAUCCAGAUCGGUUCUGGUUCAGACUGGGUUCUGGUCAGUGUUCUGGACUGUAGUCGGCCGAGAAGAGACAGAGAAUGUGGAUGUUCUGUUCUGUUCAUCAGGGCCGAGAACCAGCAUUUGUUUGAAGAGGAGUGGAACAGUAAUCACGUGUUGACAUGUUUAUGUCUCCUGUGGUCAAUGCCAACAACAACAACUUUAUAGUUUAAGAAAAUGUUAUGGUUUGACCCGGAGCCAAGUGUAUGAUUUUGAAACAUAGGGAGGAGAAGUGAGUUCAUCUGUAUGUUUUCAAGAUUAUUGAUGUGACGUUCAAGAAUAUUGUACUGCCGUUCGUUGGUUCUCAAAGUAUGGCACGCAGACCGCUGCUGGGUCCAAAAACACCUACCAACAGAGAUAAAGUUAAACACGUCAUUGACGUUACUUACAUAUUUGCUUUAUUGAUCAGUGAUGAAAAUAAUUGUGGGUCGCAGCCGAGGUCUACAACAUCAGUGUGACCUGGUCCGACAUCAGAACACGUCUGGUACGUCAGUGACACUGCUUCACGGUAACGUGAUGACGUGAGCAGUAACGAAGACCAGCUACAGACCUGGACCGCAGCUCGUCAACACUCUGCUGUUAAUAACGCAGUGAGCUGCAGAUGUUCGCCGUGCAGAUUUCCACGGAGGUGGAUUUUCUCGUCUGGAAACAAAGAAGGAAAAACUGGACAGUAACAUGAAGAGCAGCUGUUAGAUUUUAUACUUCAUACCAUGGAGCGACUCCAAGUAGCCAACGUUAGGAAAUGUUUUUAUUUUUAUUCAAUAAUAACAACUUGGUUCCAAAUGCUGUGCAGGAAUUUUUAUAGUUAUGGUGGGGGUUUGGGGGAGGCAGCGUGCUGACAGUGUGCAAACAAACAGUAAAUGUAGUGAUUUGUGGAUGAAAACCAGUCCAAUAACUAAAUAAAUACUCUCACUUUUUCCCCCUCUUUUUGCAGCAUUUUUCUUUUUUAAGUUUCAAACACAGAAGAUUGUUCUCAAUCUAACAAUGCUGUUCCAUCCUAACAGCAGGUUAAUGUACCAAAAUUACAAAAGUUUUCAGAUUCACUGGUGUAAUCAAUAUUAUAAUAAAA